GACCAGGUGGCGGAAUGGUAGACGCAAGGUAGGGGGAGCGAAAAAUGAAAAUAGGCUACGUGCAAACCUUAACGCUCCAUACGUGUACGCACGAAUAAAUCUCAUUUGAGGGUUCGAAUCCCUCCCUGGUCA
rnacentral:tRNA from 1 species